CUACGGGAGGCAGCAGUGGGGAAUAUUGGACAAUGGGGGCAACCCUGAUCCAGCAAUGCCGCGUGUGUGAAGAAGGUCUUCGGAUUGUAAAGCACUUUCACUAGGGAAGAUGAUGACGGUACCUAGAGAAGAAGCCCCGGCUAACUUCGUGCCAGCAGCCGCGGUAAUACGAAGGGGGCUAGCGUUGCUCGGAAUGACUGGGCGUAAAGGGCGCGUAGGCUGUUUGUACAGUCAGAUGUGAAAUCCCCGGGCUUAACCUGGGAACUGCAUUUGAUACGUGCAGACUAGAGUCCGAGAGAGGGUUGUGGAAUUCCCAGUGUAGAGGUGAAAUUCGUAGAUAUUGGGAAGAACACCGGUUGCGAAGGCGGCAACCUGGCUCGGAACUGACGCUGANGCGCGAAAGCGUGGGGAGCGAACAGGAUUAGAUACCCUGGUAGUCCACGCUGUAAACGAUGUGUGCUGGAUGUUGGGUGAUUUUAUCAUUCAGUGUCGGAGCUANCGCGUUAAGCACACCGCCUGGGGAGUACGGCCGCAAGGUUGAAACUCAAAGGAAUUGACNGGGGCCCCCACAAACGGUG
rnacentral:rRNA from 1 species